rnacentral:rRNA from 1 species
UGAGGAAUAUUGGACAAUGGGCGCAAGCCUGAUCCAGCCAUGCCGCGUGAGUGAUGAAGGCCUUAGGGUUGUAAAGCUCUUUCACCGGGGAAGAUAAUGACGGUACCCGGAUAAGAAGCCCCGGCCAACUCCGUGCCAGCAGCCGCGGUAAUACGGAGGGGGCUAGCGUUGUUCGGAAUUACUGGGCGUAAAGCGCACGUAGGCGGCUUGCCAAGUUAGGGGUGAAAUCCCGGAGCUCAACUCCGGAACUGCCCUUAAAACUGGCUCGCUAGAGUCCGGGAGAGGUGAGUGGAAUUCCCAGUGUAGAGGUGAAAUUCGUAGAUAUUGGGAAGAACACCAGUGGCGAAGGCGGCUCACUGGACCGGUACUGACGCUGAGGUGCGAAAGCGUGGGGAGCAAACAGG